AUCUCACUGUUCCCUCCUUAACUAGCAAAGAGCUGGGAAGUUCACCCUUGACCGUUUGUUGAUGGAAAUAGACUCCUGCCUCACAGGUUCCAUGAAUGUACCAAGGCCAUUAUGUCCAGGAUUCUUGCUCUGAGACGUGGCUGUGGCUGCCUCCCCAGAACCAGGGCACAGAAAUCUCACAGGAAACGCCAGAGGGAACCCAGGGUUCGACAAGCCCAAGCUUGACUUCACUCCAUCGGAGGCAAAUCUGAUGAAAAGACCAGCAAAAUGGCUGUCAUUCUAGCAGGAUGUGCAAACAAGGAGCGUCCUGAUUAACAAAAUUUUGCUUGAAAAGCAUUAUGUGCGUACGUGUGUGUGUGUGUGUGUGUGUGUGUGUGUGUGUGCGAUAAUACACACACCUGAGAGCAAUUGUCUUAAUGUGGCAAGGAUGUAAAACAAAUUGGACAUAAUUUGGAGGGAGGGUAAUGAGGUACUGAGAACAAGAAAACAAAGGAUGACUGGGCUCAGCAAAGGUCUCGACUCCGUCCUAAUUAGGCACAGUUGUUCUAAGAAGUGCAUAAUUAAUAGGCAUAUGACCAGAUGUGAAAUGCAGCAGAGAUUCUUCCUGAAUUGGAAGUUGUAAUGAAGUGUACACAGCUGGAAGUGGUUGUCCUAAUUCGGCUGAGGCAGAAGGCCUGCCUGGAAUUUUGAAGAGGUGUAAUAGGAGGCGCACCACGGGUUUACACCUGAAAACAACUAAUCCUAUUCCAACUGGGCUGGGGUGUAAUGAGAUAGAGCUAAUUAGCAAGCGUGUGAUGAGAUGCAAAAGGCCCUGGAAUUAAGCUGGAAAUAUCUUUAAAAGUGAAUUAAGCUGCAAACCCCAGAGAAGCAUUUCUGCUAAUGGAGCUAGGUGUGAGUGUGACACAGUGUGACAGGUCUGAGGUGCGUACCUGGGCCAGAGACUUACGCCUGUAAUUAAAAAUAUCACUGGGUCAUUCACACACCUGGAGCAGGAGUCCCUGGGAACCCGAGAAUGCAAUGACCUGUAAGAGCUGCACGUGUAUUUUUUUAACGUAUAUAUUUAUGUACGUACAAUGGCGGGGGGGAAAGGUGCUGUCAGGUGAGCAUAGUUGUUAUAUUCAAUCUCAUUUAGAAAUGUGGCCUCAGAUUCCUGCUGACUUUGCAAAUAGAUACUCUAGGAGGAGAAAAAUUGGCACUCUCCUCUUCCCAAACUUAUUUAGUUACCUACCAGGCUAAGUUUUCUUGCACAAGAAUUUAUUUACUGUGACAGAGCAGGGACCCCUUGGUACCUGGUUUCUGUUUUAUGAUUGCUAUUACAUUAUUAUAGAUGCCAUUUGCUGAACACUGAACGUGUGUCAGAUGCUGUGCUAAACGCUACCAUAAACUUCCAUUUAAUCCUCACAGAAAUCCUAUGAGACAGGUACUAUGAGCAUCCCUACUUUCCACAGGAAACUAAGGCUCAGAUGAAGGACCGGACCCCAGGCCGAUGCUGACACCUGGGUUCAUUUUUGGAACCUUCUCUGUUCUCUGUCCUGGGCCAAACUUCUCAUCCUGUGUGGCAAAGGGAGAGUCCCUCACACAGCCAUUGGAGUUCCAAGUGACAUUCUCUGGUAGUUUGACACCUCCAUUUGCUUUGUCCUCUCCUGUGGCCCCCAGAGGGAGCCAUUCCCGAACUGAAUUUGGGGCUACCUGCCUUUCUCCUCUGCUCCGCCUCAGCCCCCUACUGCCUGAGGCCCCACCCCCCCCACCCACCCCCCGUGGCCAGCACAUCAGCAUAAUUCUUGGAAACAAAGCCCUUCGGCACAGGGGCUGAGCUCAGCCAGCUGGAGCCCCAGAAGGGACCCACACCUCGGCCAAGGGGGCUUAAUGCUCAGGUUUUAGAAUAUGCUCUGCCUUGGCUCAGAAUGUCACUUCGGCCUUUUACAAGUGGUUUGCUGUUGUACAAGUUACCAAACACCCUAAGCCUCAGUUUCUUCAUCUGUGAAGUAAUAAUAAUAGCUCAGUCCAACACUGUUGCUCUAUAAAGUAAGAGAAGGGUGUUCAGUGCCUGGAACAUAAUAAGUACUAUGUAUACAUAAUAAAUAAUAUUCUAAUAAAGGUAUCUUGUCUGUUUCUUUGAUAUGCCAUUGACCCAAUAUCUGGAAAACCUACUCUGUUUAUGUGGCAUAGGAACACAGCCACCCUGACAGGCCCUGCUGUUGUGAAGGCCUAGGUGUUGUCGGAUGGAGCCCAGGAUUUAGGCCUGAGGCCCCGCCUGCUGAACAGCGCUUCCUGAUUUUGUUCCUCCAGCAUUUCCACCCCCUCUCCCACACAGGACACCUGCCCUCGGUGUCUGCUUCCUCAAACCUGCCUCCUUCCGGGCUAUAGGUGAGUUUGCAUCGCAUUGCCUGCCAGCGUGUUAUGUGCCUCUCAUUAAACUCUGGAGGUUCCAGUAGCCUUUAGGGACCAGGCCUUAACAAAUGAGAUGGCCUUCUGCUGAGGAAUGUCAGAGCCUGGCUCUCUAAGUCACAAACUGCUCCGUGAAACUGAGGUGAGAAAAGUGUCACUUCUAAACAUUCUUUUUUCCAAAUCUAACUCUAGCUCUCACUUACCCUUCUCGGCCAAAGUCCAACUGCAGUAACUUUGUGUGUUUCCUCCUGGGGUGGGGAAGGGGAACCUUCUGUGAAGACAGUAUGGUCGUCGGUGCCUCCUGAUCACUUUGUCACCCCUGCUCCAGAUGCCAGCUGCCCUGGGGUGCCACAGCUCUGAAUGUGGAAGUCUUCUCCGGUGUGCCCAGGCUUCAUUGUCCAGCCUCCACAGAGCUCACUGCUCCCUCUGCCACAACAUCCGGUAACAUUCCAGACAAUGACUGCUCAGUGUGUGUGGGUCCCAGAGGGAGGAAGAUGCAGAGCCCCAGCUGACCUACAGUGGACAUAUGAUGUCAUGGGGAACCAGGGCUGUGUGCUGGGACGUGACUAGAUCAGAGCCUCCGCAGGAGAAUGAACUUGGACACACCUCCUUAGGGAAGUGAGAGGAACCCAGGGCCCCACCCAGGCAGAAGAUGGUAACUUCAGGCCAAGCACAGUAUUCCUGGAACGACGCCCUGUUGCCUUACCACCAACCAAUCAAAAGAAAGUCUGCACACAGUGGAAGAAAUGCACGUUGCCAGCAUCCCAAGUCUCACUAAAAGGACCCGUGGCAUGACUCAAGGUAUGAUUUCUCUUUACCAUCCUCUUUCUACUUUUGAAUAUACAAUGUUUCAUUGGAAGGGAAAAGAACUCCAAAGCCACUUCUUGUCUGCUAGUGCUUUUGACUUGCA